GACGAACGCUGGCGGCGUGCUUAACACAUGCAAGUCGAACGGAAAGGCCUUUUCGGAGGUACUCGAGUGGCGAACGGGUGAGUAACACGUGGGUGAUCUGCCCUGCACUCUGGGAUAAGCCUGGGAAACUGGGUCUAAUACCGGAUAGGACCGCACUUUAGUGUGUGUGGUGGAAAGUUUUUUCGGUGUAGGAUGAGCCCGCGGCCUAUCAGCUUGUUGGUGGGGUAAUGGCCUACCAAGGCGGCGACGGGUAGCCGGACUGAGAGGUUGGUCGGCCACAUUGGGACUGAGAUACGGCCCAGACUCCUACGGGAGGCAGCAGUGGGGAAUAUUGCACAAUGGGCGCAAGCCUGACGCAGCGACGCCGCGUGGGGGAUGACGGCCUUCGGGUUGUAAACUCCUUUCGCCAGGGACGAAGCGUUUUGUGACGGUACCUGGAGAAGAAGCACCGGCUAACUACGUG
rnacentral:rRNA from 1 species